rnacentral:rRNA from 1 species
GCUGGCGGCAUGCUUUACACAUGCAAGUCGAACGGGGUGAGGGGGCAACCUCUCAUUCAGUGGCGAACGGGUGAGUAAUGCAUCGGAACGUGUCCCGCAGUGGGGGAUAACUCGGCGAAAGCCGAGCUAAUACCGCAUACGCUCUGCGGAGGAAAGCGGGGGACCCGCAAGGGCCUCGUGCUAUGGGGGCGGCCGAUGUCCGAUUAGCUGGUUGGUGGGGUAAUGGCCUACCAAGGCGACGAUCGGUAGCUGGUCUGAGAGGAUGAUCAGCCACACUGGGACUGAGACACGGCCCAGACUCCUACGGGAGGCAGCAGUGGGGAAUUUUGGACAAUGGGGGCAACCCUGAUCCAGCCAUGCCGCGUGCGGGAAGAAGGCCUUCGGGUUGUAAACCGCUUUUAGCCGGGACGAAAGCUGUACGGAUAACACCCGUGCAGGUUGACGGUACCGGCGGAAUAAGCACCGGCUAACUACGUGCCAGCAGCCGCGGUAAUACGUAGGGUGCGAGCGUUAAUCGGAAUUACUGGGCGUAAAGCGUGCGCA